rnacentral:rRNA from 1 species
UACGUAGGCAGCGAGCGUUGUUCGGAGUUACUGGGCGUAAAGCGUGCGUAGGCGGUGUCGUAAGUCUGUUGUGAAAUCUCCCGGCUCAACUGGGAGGGGUCAUUCGAUACUGGCGGGCUCGAGGCCGGUAGGGGGAAGUGGAAUUCCCGGUGUAGUGGUGGAAUGCGUAGAUAUCGGGAGGAACACCAGUGGCGAAGGCGGCUUCCUGGACCGGUUCUGACACUGAGGAGCGAAAGCGUGGGGAGCGAUCCGG